GCACUUGUGGCGGAAUGGAAUACGCGCACGGCUAAGGACCGUGUUCCGAGAGGAUUAUGAGUUCAAGUCUCAUCAAGUGCA
rnacentral:tRNA from 1 species